rnacentral:rRNA from 1 species
UACGGGGGGAGCAAGCGUUGUUCGGAUUUACUGGGCGUAAAGGGCGCGUAGGUGGCGCGACAAGUCACGUGUGAAAUCUCUGGGCUCAACCCAGAACGGUCAAGUGAUACUGUCGUGCUAGAGUGCGGAAGGGGCAACUGGAAUUCUUGGUGUAGCGGUGAAAUGCGUAGAUAUCAAGAGGAACACCUGCGGCGAAGGCGGGUUGCUGGGCCGACACUGACGCUGAGGAGCGAAAGCGUGGGGAGCAAACAGG